rnacentral:rRNA from 1 species
UUGAACGCUGGCGGCAGGCCUAACACAUGCAAGUCGAGCGGCAGCGGAAAGUAGCUUGCUACUUUGCCGGCGAGCGGCGGACGGGUGAGUAAUGUCUGGGAAACUGCCUGAUGGAGGGGGAUAACUACUGGAAACGGUAGCUAAUACCGCAUAACGUCGCAAGACCAAAGAGGGGGACCUUCGGGCCUCUUGCYAUCAGAUGUGCCCAGAUGGGAUUAGCUAGUAGGUGGGGUAACGGCUCACCUAGGCGACGAUCCCUAGCUGGUCUGAGAGGAUGACCAGCCACACUGGAACUGAGACACGGUCCAGACUCCUACGGGAGGCAGCAGUGGGGAAUAUUGCACAAUGGGCGCAAGCCUGAUGCAGCCAUGCCGCGUGUAUGAAGAAGGCCUUCGGGUUGUAAAGUACUUUCAGCGGGGAGGAAGGUGCUGAGGUUAAUAACCUCAGCAAUUGACGUUACCCGCAGAAGAAGCACCGGCUAACUCC